AGAGAUUUACAAGAGCAGCCCGAUAACAGAGAAUUACAGUAGUCCAGUCUGGAAGUGACAAACGCAUGAACUAAUUUUUCUGCAUCACUUUGAGACAGGAAGUUCCUGAUUUUUGAUAUGUUACGUAGAUGAAAAUAGGCAGUCCUUGAAGUCUUCUUUAUAUGAGAGUUGAAGGUAAUAUCGUGGUCGAAGAGAAAUUCCUGACGGUGCUGCUGGGUACCCAGAGCAAUUCCAUCCAUAAAAACUGUAUUACGUGACAGCUGGCUUCGAAGGCGCUCUGGGCCUAUCAGGAUAACUUCCGUUUUUUCUGAGUUUAGCAUCAGGAAGUUGCCGGUCAUCCAAGUUUUGAUGUCUCCAAGACAUUCUUGAAGUCUAACUAACUGGUCCGUCUCUUCUGGCUUGAUCGACAGAUACAGUUGAGUAUCGUCUGCAUAACAAUGGAAGUUUAUGCGGUGUUUCCUGAUAAGAUCGCCCAAAGGAAGCAUAUAGAGGGUAAAUAAAAUCGGUCCAAGUACAGAACCUUGUGGGACUCCGUGACCAACAUUGGUGGUCUUUGAGGAUUCACCGUUUACAAGCACAAACUGGGAUCGGUCCGAUAGGUAGGAUUUAAACCAGCUGAGUGCAGUUCCUUUGAUACCAAUUAAAUGUUCUAGUCUCUGCAACAGGAUACAAUGGUCUAUGGUAUCAAAUGCGGCACUGAGGUCCAAGAAAAGAGAUGAGUCCUUGGUCCCGAUGCAAGUAGAAGAUCAUUCGUUAUUUUCACCAGUGCUGUUUCUGUACUGUGAUGCACUCGAAAUCCUGACUGGAAAUCCUCGAACAAAGCAUUGUUUUGUAGAAAGUCACAUAAUUGAUUUGCAACGGAUUUCUCAAGGAUCUUAGAGAGGAAGGGAAGAUUAGAGAUAGGUAUGUAGUUAGCCAGCACCUCUAGAGCAAGAGUAGGUUUCUUAAGAAGAGGUUUAAUUACAGCUACCUUGAAGGACUGUGGUACAUGUCCUGUCAACAAAGACAGAUUCAUAAUAUCUAAUAAGGAUGUGCUAACUAAAGGAAAAACUUCCUUAAGCAGUUUGGUCGGAAUCGGAUCCAGGAGACGUAGAUAAGUAGAAGAUUUAGACUUAUUAUAGAAGUCAGUUGAUCAAGGUUGAUGGAAGAGAAGGCAUCAAAACAGGCAUCAGGGCCCACUGCUGCAUCCAAGGUUCCUAGAUCGGAGGACAGGUCGGCACUGGUUGAAGGCAGGAGACCAUCAAUUUUGUCUUUGAUAGUCAGAAUCUUAUCAUUGAAGAAGUUCAUGAAGUCGUUACUAGUGAGGUCCAAAGGAAUACACGGCUCGACAGAGCUAUGACUCUCUGUCAGUCUGGCUACAGUGCUGAAGAGAAACCUGGAGUUGUUUUUAUUUUUCUCUAUUAAUGAUGAGUAAUAAGAUGCUCUUGCGUUACGGAGAGCCUUCUUAUAUGUUUUAAGGCUGUCUUGCCAAACUAGCCUAGAUCCUUCUGAUUUGGUGGAACGCCAUAAUCGUUCAAGUUUCCGCACAGUUUGCUUUAGGUUCCGUGUUUGAGGGUUAUACCACGGAGCAGACUUCCUUCUUGUUGCUAUUCUCCUUUCCAGAGGAGCAAUAGCGUCCAGCGCCACUAAUCAGACAUUGAAGCAGUGAAAUAUGGAACAUCCAGAAGUUUAUUAAGCAACUGUGGUGAUCCUUGGGGGGUCCCGGAAUGAGGAGUACACACCAGAUCGUUUCGGGAACAAACUUUGUUUUGCACACUUUUCACAAAAGAGUGGGCUCCCGGCGUCCAGCCUCCUCGUCUCUCUCACCGGCUCGCCACUACUGAAAUACAGGGAGACAAACACAAUCCUUGAUUCCCUGCAGCUGAGGCCAACAGCAUAUUAGAGUAGAACCUUUAGAAUCUUCAUACCUAAAUAUGACUGCAGUAUAGCAGCAACGGUAAAAACCGUUGCAUUCCCGCCUUUUCCUAAAGAGACCCUAAAAUUUUUGUAGCAACUAAUAAACGGAAGGUCUUCUACAUUCUGUGAUAGAAGAUUAUGAAAAUAUAACGCAUACUUCUCGCUAGAAAUGCCAUCGAAAUGCAUCCAAAUGCUGAUGCUUUCUUAAAAUAUUUAUAUAUCUGUUUUUCACAGAUAAUAGGCCAUUUUCUUAUUUUAGCUGAGGGAAACUUGAUAGUCACAUGACCUAGUCGCAAGGCAAUGUAAAUGAAUAGGCCAAAUAAACGUAGUAUUGUCAGAAUUUUGGGGCAAAUUGUGACACUGUUUUCCCUUGUGGACCAACGUAGCUAUUACACAUUUUGCUGUGAGACUGGGUUGGAACCUAUGUACAUAAUUGUGUGUGUCUGCAGUAUCAGUGUGUUCAGUCACACAUUGCUGCAGAUAACCUUUGUGCUUGUGUGACUGAACGCACACACACACACACACACACACACACACACACACACACACACACCGAUGCUCCCGGUCACAUGGUUCAUACCAAGUGAAGAAGUGUGUGUUUGUGGGUGUGUUACUGUGUUGCUCUUGUGUUCAGGUUGUACUGAAGCUAAAUGUACCUCCAUGUCAUCAUUAGCUCCAUUAGCACAAAUAGAUACAGAGAUAUUAAGUAUUAAAGGUGAUCAGCAGACAGAAUCAAUGCGUUUUAGAAUAUCAACAAACUAGAGCAUCCUGUCGACCGGAACCCCCCCCACCCCCCAUCCCGCAGUACAGGGUUCUACCUCGCAGGGUAGACGAAGACGAAAGGGAAAACACAUAUAUAGAGAGAAAACGAUGACUGCAGCCAAUUAGCAGCCCCGGGUCCUCCUGUUAUCACACACACACACAAGGCACAGCCACGGGGAACACACACACACACACACAAGGCACAGCCACGGGGAACACACACACACAAGGCACGGUCCUAGUGCACGCACACACACACACGCACACACACAGUGCUGAGACACGAUCAAACAAGGUCAGAUGCAGAAGUGGAGGGAGGAAGUGUUUAUGUGUGUGUCCUUCAUGGACACAGUGGUGGUCCUCUACGAGGUGUGAUUGUUGAUGUUACCGGUUGGUAAGUUCAAUAUUCUCACUGUUCACAAAGGAAGUUUUGUGUUUAAAGAUUUGAAACUCAAUUUCAAAUCAUCAACACAAAACUUCCUUUGUCACUCGCACACACACACACACUGACUCGGUCACGCCUUCGCCUUCCCUCCAAUCAAUUUGUCUUGUCUGAAACAUCCUUUAAUGUUCCGCCUCUCUUUCUUUAUUGUCCUCUUAUCUCUUAGCAGUCAGUCUUCACAAGCUAGACUCCAGCAGACAGGUGAUGUAAGACACACACAAACACAGACACGCACACAUAUACCCACACAUGUAUGACAACGCACAUGUGCAGAUGGGAUCUCAUGUUUUGUGGGUCCGAAAUUGGAAAUAACUGA
ensembl:lncRNA